rnacentral:rRNA from 1 species
GACAGAGGAUGCAAGCGUUAUCCGGAAUGAUUGGGCGUAAAGCGUCUGUAGGUGGCUUUUUAAGUCCGCCGUCAAAUCCCAGGGCUCAACCCUGGACAGGCGAUGGAAACUACCAAGCUGGAGUACGGUAGGGGCAGAGGGAAUUCCCGGUGUAGCGGUGAAAUGCGUAGAGAUCGGGAGGAACACCAGAGGCGAAGGCGGCGACCUGGACAAGUACUGACACUCAACUACGAAAGCGUGGGUAGCAAACAGG